GAACUGCGAUAAGUAAUGUGAAUUGCAGAAUUCAGUGAAUCAUCGAGUCUUUGAACGCACAUUGCGCCCCCUGGCAUUCCGGGGGGCAUGCCUGUCCGAGCGUCAUUGCUGCCCUUCAAGCCCGGCUUGUGUGUUGGGUCGUCGUCCCCUCCGGGGGACGGGCCCGAAAGGCAGUGGCGGCACCGCGUCCGGUCCUCGAGCGUAUGGGGCUUUGUCACCCGCUCGAUAAGGACCGGCCGGGCGCCAGCCGGCGUCUCCAACCUUUUUUUCUCAGGUUGACCUCGGAUCAGGUAGGGAUACCCGCUGAACUUAAGC
rnacentral:misc_RNA from 1 species